rnacentral:rRNA from 1 species
AGAACGAACGCUGGCGGCAGGCUUAACACAUGCAAGUCGAGCGCCCAGCAAUGGGAGCGGCGGACGGGUGAGUAACACGUGGGAACAUGCCCUUUGGUACGGAACAACUCAGGGAAACUUGAGCUAAUACCGUAUGUGCCGGUAACGGGAAAGAUUUAUCGCCAAAGGAUUGGCCCGCGUCCGAUUAGCUAGUUGGUGAGGUAACGGCCCACCAAGGCUCCGAUCGGUAGCUGGUUUGAGAGAACGACCAGCCACACUGGGACUGAGACACGGCCCCAGACUCCUACGGGAGGCAGCAGUGGGGAAUCUUGGACAAUGGGGGAAACCCUGAUCCAGCCAUGCCGCGUGAGUGAUGAAGGCCUUCGGGUUGUAAAACUCUUUCGACGGGGACGAUAAUGACGGUACCCGUAGAAGAAGCUCCGGCUAACUUCGUGCCAGCAGCCGC